AGAGUUUGAUCCUGGCUCAGGAUGAACGCUGGCGGCGUGCCUAAUACAUGCAAGUCGUGCGGUAACAGGUCUAGUUUACUAGAUGCUGACGAGCGGCGGACGGCUGAGUAACGCGUAGGAAUUUACCCUAAAGUGAGGGAUAACUGCCCGAAAGGGUAGCUAAUACCGCAUGUGCUCUUCGGAGUAAAGCUAUUAGCGCU
rnacentral:rRNA from 1 species